rnacentral:rRNA from 1 species
AUACGUAGGUGACAAGCGUUGUCCGGAAUUACUGGGUGUAAAGGGAGCGUAGGCGGGAGUGCAAGUCAGAAGUGAAAUUCCUGAGCUCAACUCGGGCGCUGCUUCUGAAACUGCAGGACUUGAGUGCUGGAGGGGAUAGCGGAAUUCCUAGUGGAGCGGUAAAAUGCGCAGAUAUUAGGAAGAACACCGGUGGCGAAGGCGGGUCUCUGGGCAGUAACUGACGCUGAGGAGCGAAAGCAUGGGUAGCGAACAGGAUUAGAUACCCUGGUAGUCCAUGCCGUAAACGGUGGGCGCUAGGUGUAGGGGUCUUCCACGACUUCUGUGCCGUAGCUAACGCAUUAAGCGCCCCGCCUGGGGAGUACGGCCGCAAGGUUGAAACUCAAAUGAAUUGACGGGG